rnacentral:rRNA from 1 species
GGUCAAGUUGUUAAGGGCACAUGGUGGAUGUCUUGGCUUCAGGAGCCGAUGAAGGACGUAGGAGGCUGCGAUAAGCCUCGGGGAGCUGUCAACCGAGCUGUGAUCCGAGGAUUUCCGAAUGGGGAAACCCAGCACCAGUGAUGUGGUGUUACCCGCCGGUGAAUAUAUAGCCGGUGUGGAGGGAACGCGGGGAAGUGAAACAUCUCAGUACCCGUAGGAAGAGAAAACAACCGUGAUUCCGUGAGUAGUGGCGAGCGAAAGCGGAAGAGGCUAAACCGUGUACAUGUCAAGCUGUCAGGCGUUGUGUGUGCGGUGUUGUGGGACCCAGCGUCGAGGAUCUGACAGUCCUCGGAAUGAUCAUGCAUGUUAGUGGAACCGUUUGGGAUGGCGGGCCGGAGUGGGUGAGAGCCCCGUACGCGAAAACAUGUGGUGGUUGUUUGUGUGGUGUUCCCGAGUAGCAGCGAGCUCGUGGAAUUUGCUGUGAAUCUGCCGGGACCACCCGGUAAGCCUAAAUACUUCCUGAAGACCGAUAGCGGACUAGUACCGUGAGGGAAAGAUGAAAAGUACCCCGGGAGGGGAGUGAAAGAGUACCUGAAACCGUGUGCCUACAAGCCGUCAGAGCCCGAGCACGUUGUGAGACGUUACGGUGAUGGCGUGCCUUUUGAAGAAUGAGCCUGCGAGUUAGUGCUGCGUGGCGAGGUUAACCCGUGUGGGUAGCCGUAGCGAAAGCGAGUCUGAACAGGGCGAACAUAGUCGCGUGGUCUAGACCCGAAGCGGAGUGAUCUA